rfam:Dipodomys ordii contig_4808, whole genome shotgun sequence.
GGGAAUGUGGCUUAGUGGUAGAGUGCGUGCCUAACAUGCAUGAAUCCCUGAGUUCGAUUCUUCAGCACCA